UCACAGAAAUCUGCUUCUGCCUCCCAAGUACUGGAAUUAAAGGUGUGUACCUUGGGCACGCGCGUCCACGGAGGCUCGGCCUGUGAGCGUUCUGGAUCCCGCUGCAAGAUGAGCCUGGGACCAUGACAGGUGAAAUGGGUUACGCAAGCUGCACAGAUAAUUAAGUAGCAGAGAUUAGAACUCAGGUUUCCUGCCUCCCAAGAUUGUUAAACAUGAGCCUGCGGAAGCAAACCCCUAGGGACUUCUUAAAGAAAAUCAUCGGGCGACCAGUUGUGGUGAAAUUAAAUUCUGGUGUGGAUUAUCGAGGGAUCCUGGCCUGCCUGGAUGGCUACAUGAAUAUAGCCCUGGAACAGACAGAGGAGUAUGUAAAUGGACAGCUGAAGAAUAAGUAUGGAGAUGCGUUCAUCCGAGGAAACAAUGUUCUGUACAUAAGUACACAGAAGAGGCAGAUGUGAAGACACCAGGAGGCACUGCUCUUCAAAGAUGGAUAGAUGAAGUGGUUUUGGUUCUCUUACGGUCUUAGUUGGCCUGUUUUCAUGGUGGUUGGUGGGGUUUGUUUGUUUGUUUGUUUAAUUGACAAUGGAAUAAGAUAGAGGUAUUACAUUACAGAUUGACUCUUUUAAAAAAAAAAGGUGUGUACCUCCAUACCCAGCAAGAAUUUAAGUUUUUUUUUUAAAAAGGAUCAUCAUAAAUGAUUCACAUAAACAGCAUAAACAGAAAUUUUUAUUUUGUUGAUAUAAAACAUCUACCUAUGUUUCCGUAAUAAAAUGUGAUAUAUACCUAAAAUACCGGAAGUAAAUUAUUAUUAUUAUUAUUAUUAUUAUUAUUACAGCAUUGAUAUUUAGCUUGGGGAUGUAAGUCAGGUAGUAAAAUAUACUUGCCUAGCAUAAACAGAGCCCUAGGUUUGACCUCCAAUGUCACGUAAAUGUAGGAUGCAUUAGAUACUUUAUUUAAAAGAUUAAAAAUGAAAGCAAAGCAGUUUUUGUGUUUAAAACUUUGUCAUUAGAUUUUUAUAUAAAUUUUUGGUAUGAUAGUAAAAUCAUACCAUAAGAAUUUGAAACAACUCUUAGCAUAUUAAAUAUUUAUAUUAUAACUUCAGAUUUUACAUAUAUCAAUUAUUUCAAGUGAUAGAGUACUGGGGCUUAAACUGAGGAUCGAAAGAGGCAAGUAUUUCACCAUUGACCUACAUCCCAGCCCUAAUUUGUAAUAACUUUUAGAAGACUUUUUAGAGUUUAAUGAAAAUGAAGCCACAACAU